rnacentral:rRNA from 1 species
UACAGAGGUCUCAACCGUUGUUCGGAUUUAUUGGGCGUAAAGGGUGCGUAGGCGGUCGGGUAAGUCGGAUGUGAAAUCCCAGGGCUCAACCCUGGAACUGCAUUCGAUACUGCCUGGCUAGGGUACUGGAGAGGAGACUGGAAUUUACGGUGUAGCAGUGAAAUGCGUAGAUAUCGUAAGGAAGACCAGUGGCGAAGGCGAGUCUCUGGACAGUUACCGACGCUGAGGCACGAAGGUCAGGGGAGCAAAC